rnacentral:lncRNA from 1 species
AUAAGCUCCAUUCUCUUCAAACACCUUAAACAUUCUGACGAACAAAUCAAUCAUAAUAAUUUCAUCUUCAUAAUUAUGUUCCUUGAAUUUGAGCAGGACUGGAUGAGCCCUUUGCCUGAAGUGUCCCUCCACGAAAUACUCGAAACCGGCCGGAGGUUCCCUCAGAACCCUAGUCAUAUGCUCACAUGCUCUAGCGAAAAACUUCGUGUUAUGCUUCUCCAGCGGUCCUGAACCCCAUGAGAUCAAAUUCUGAAUUGCAUGAAGUAUUAGCAAAACAUUAAACUCCCGCUUUUCUUUGUUAUUGCAGCCAGGCCAAAUAUGCUCGAGGCAGCUGUGCCAUGUUUCCCCAAAGUCGAGGCAAACCUUUCCAUCGGGUCGUAGGUUUGGAUUCCAGUCGACCCCGUAAGACAGGUAGUAGAGGUUCGGGGGGAUGCUGGGGUAGUUUACAGGAAAGCAUAUGUCAAAGAAGAACAAACAAUGCUGAUAGUCACUGCCCGGUGGGCCGAGGAAACCUACCCUCAUUAGAUCGAUCCUGCGCUCGUAGGCCCGUACGUAAAUCGAGCUCGUGAUGUGUUUCUCCAAGAGGCGCCAUUGAUCCUCCAUCAUUUUUCUGAAUGUCUGCAUGGGUAUAAGAUUCAUGCAGAGGUACUGCUUGUCCAUCAAGUAAUGGUGAUCGGACGGCGUGGAGGAGACCACUUCAAAGUUCUUGAAACCGUUGAAUUGUCUUCCGACUUCAUCUUCUAUCUCUUCGAUCUCUCCGAAUGUUCCCCUCGUCACCGGCGGUCUAAGAUCUUGAUCUUGAUCCAUGUUAAUAUGUUGUGUUUAUGGUUUUAUUCGACAUCGGACUUAAAAAGAUGUUGAAACUAUAAUGAUCAAUUUCUGCAUAGUUGAUUUACAUGAGAGGAUUUGUAUCCUAUUACCUGUAGACUUCUACAUUCAU